rnacentral:rRNA from 1 species
UGCAAGUCGAGGGGCAGCGGGAUUGAAGCUUGCUUCAAUUGCCGGCGACCGGCGCACGGGUGAGUAACGCGUAUCCAACCUUCCGUACACUCAGGGAUAGCCUUUCGAAAGAAAGAUUAAUACCUGAUGGUAUGAUGAGAUUGCAUGAUAGCAUCAUUAAAGAUUCAUCGGUGUACGAUGGGGAUGCGUUCCAUUAGGUAGUAGGCGGGGUAACGGCCCACCUAGCCAACGAUGGAUAGGGGUUCUGAGAGGAAGGUCCCCCACAUUGGAACUGAGACACGGUCCAAACUCCUACGGGAGGCAGCAGUGAGGAAUAUUGGUCAAUGGACGAGAGUCUGAACCAGCCAAGUAGCGUGAAGGAUGAAGGUCUUACGGAUUGUAAACUUCUUUUAUAAGGGAAUAAAACCUCCCACGUGUGGGAGCUUGUAUGUACCUUAUGAAUAAGCAUCGGCUAACUCCGUGCCAGCAGCCGCGGUAAUACGGAGGAUGCGAGCGUUAUCCGGAUUUAUUGGGUUUAAAGGGAGCGCAGACGGGUCGUUAAGUCAGCUGUGAAAGUUUGGGGCUCAACCUUAAAAUUGCAGUUGAUACUGGCGUCCUUGAGUGCGGUUGAGGUGUGCGGAAUUCGUGGUGUAGCGGUGAAAUGCUUAGAUAUCACGAAGAACUCCGAUUGCGAAGGCAGCACACUAAGCCGUAACUGACGUUCAUGCUCGAAAGUGUGGGUAUC